GAUCUGCUGGAACUCAACUGACGCUAAGGCGCGAAAGCGUGGGGAGCAAACAGGAUUAGAUACCCUGGUAGUCCACGCCCUAAACGAUGUACACUAGUUGUUGGGGUGCUAGUCAUCUCAGUAAUGCAGCUAACGCAUUAAGUGUACCGCCUGGGGAGUACGGUCGCAAGAUUAAAACUCAAAGGAAUAGACGGGGACCCGCACAAGCGGUGGAGCAUGUGGUUUAAUUCGAAGAUACGCGAAGAACCUUACCUGGGCUUGAUAUCCUAAGAACCUUUUAGAGAUAAGAGGGUGCUAGCUUGCUAGAACUUAGAGACAGGUGCUGCACGGCUGUCGUCAGCUCGUGUCGUGAGAUGUUGGGUUAAGUCCCGCAACGAGCGCAACCCACGUAUUUAGUUGCUAACGGUUCGGCCGAGCACUCUAAAUAGACUGCCUUCGUAAGGAGGAGGAAGGUGUGGACGACGUCAAGUCAUCAUGGCCCUUAUGCCCAGGGCGACACACGUGCUACAAUGGCAUAUACAAUGAGACGCAAUACCGCGAGGUGGAGCAAAUCUAUAAAAUAUGUCCCAGUUCGGAUUGUUCUCUGCAACUCGAGAGCAUGAAGCCGGAAUCGCUAGUAAUCGUAGAUCAGCCAUGCUACGGUGAAUACGUUCCCGGGUCUUGUACUCACCGCCCGUCACACCAUGGGAGUUGAUUUCACUCGAAGCCGGAAUACUAAACUAGUUACCGUCCACAGUGGAAUCAGCGACUGGGGUGAAGUCGUAACAAGGUAACCGUAGGAGAACCUGCGGUUGGAUCACCUCCUUUCUA
rnacentral:rRNA from 1 species